rnacentral:lncRNA from 1 species
CUUUCUUAAAGAAAUCAGCGUGGUCUGUCUCUGAGCGCCCGCUGAGCUCUUCUUAGACCUAGGGAUUCACAUCUUUCAAACCAAACAUCCCUGGCGCUCAUUCCACCUGGAAACUCAGUGCGGCUCCAUUAUCAUUAUCACAGAGACACUGUUGAUUUUAAAAUACAGGAGUGGUGAGCUACAGAGAAGGAAAUGAAGCCUAAAUUGCAUGGCAGACUACCCGUCUACUGAACUUCUUCAAAGAAUGCCUGUAAAGAGUCUGAAAUGGCAGAUUGCAUGUUUGGCCACAUGCAUUAAGAAGAACACUAGACAAUUAGCAGAUGUUGGAAUAGAUUUUUUUAAAAAAAUGAAAAACUUCCAGAGAUUCAACCCAAGAAGGACAAAUCUGUGAGUGGAAAGAAUAAAAAUUGAUCUACAGACUUUGGCUACA